CACACGACUCUCGGCAACGGAUAUCUCGGCUCUCGCAUCGAUGAAGAACGUAGCGAAAUGCGAUACCUGGUGUGAAUUGCAGAAUCCCGCGAACCAUCGAGUCUUUGAACGCAAGUUGCGCCCGAGGCCUUCUGGCCGAGGGCACGCCUGCCUGGGCGUCACG
rnacentral:rRNA from 1 species